UACGUAGGGUGCGAGCGUUAAUCGGAAUUACUGGGCGUAAAGCGUGCGCAGGCGGUUUGUUAAGGCAGAUGUGAAAUCCCCGGGCUUAACCUGGGAACUGCAUUUGUGACUGGCAAGCUAGAGUAUGGCAGAGGGGGGGUAGAAUUCCACGUGUAGCAGUGAAAUGCGUAGAGAUGUGGAGGAAUACCGAUGGCGAAGGCAGCCCCCUGGGCCAAUACUGACGCUCAUGCACGAA
rnacentral:rRNA from 1 species